rnacentral:rRNA from 1 species
CCUACGGGUGGCAGCAGUGAGGAAUAUUGGUCAAUGGGCGCGAGCCUGAACCAGCCAAGUAGCGUGAAGGAUGACUGCCCUACGGGUUGUAAACUUCUUUUAUAAAGGAAUAAAGUGAGGCUCGUGUGCCUUUUUGUAUGUACUUUAUGAAUAAGGAUCGGCUAACUUCGUGCCAGCACCCGCGGUAAUACGGAGGAUCCGAGCGUUAUCCGGAUUUAUUGGGUUUAAAGGGAGCGUAGAUGGGUUGUUAAGUCAGUUGUGAAGGUUUCGGGCUCAACCGUAAAAUUGCAAUUGAUACUGGCAGACUUGAGUACAGUUGAGGUAGGCGGAAUGCGUGGUGUAGGGGUGAAAUGCAUAGAUAUCACGCAGAACUCCGAUCGCGAAGGCAGCCAACCGGCGCGUAACUGACGCUCAUGCACGAAAGCGUGGGUAGCAAACAGGAUUAGAUACCCUAGUAGUC